rnacentral:rRNA from 1 species
UACAGAGGGUGCAAGCGUUGUUCGGAAUCAUUGGGCGUAAAGGGCGUGUAGGUGGCAAAGUGUGUCCGGUGUGAAAACCCUCGGCUCACCCGAGGAAGUGCAUUGGAAACUACUUUGCUCGAGUACGAUAGGGGAUGGCGGAAUUCCCAGUGUAGAGGUGAAAUUCGUAGAUAUUGGGAGGAACACCAGCGGCGAAGGCGGCCAUCUGGAUCGUAACUGACACUGAGACGCGAAAGCGUGGGUAGCAAAC